CUUAAAUGAAUUGACGGGACCCCGCACAAGCGGUGGAGUAUGUGGUUUAAUUCGAAGCAACGCGAAGAACCUUACCAGGUCUUGACAUGGUGUUUAAGGCCCUAGAGAUAGGGAGAUAAUAAGCACACACAGGUGGUGCAUGGUUGUCGUCAGCUCGUGUCGUGAGAUGUUGGGUUAAGUCCCGCAACGAGCGCAACCCUUGUCUUUAGUUACCAUCAUUCAGUUGGGGACUCUAGAGAGACUGCCGGUGAUAAACCGGAGGAAGGUGGGAUGACGUCAAAUCAUCAUGCCCCUUAUGACCUGGGCUACACACGUGCUACAAUGGGCGGUACAAAGGGCUGCGAACCCGCGAGGGGGAGCGAAUCCCAAAAAGCCGCUCUCAGUUCGGAUUGCAGGCUGCAACUCGCCUGCAUGAAGCCGGAAUCGCUAGUAAUCGCGGAUCAGCAUGCCGCGGUGAAUACGUUCCCGGGCCUU
rnacentral:rRNA from 1 species